UACAGAGGGUGCGAGCGUUGUCCGGAAUCACUGGGCGUAAAGGGCGCGUAGGUGGCGCUCCAAGUCCGUGGUGAAAGCUCGAUGCUCAACAUCGAGUCGGCCACGGAGACUGGAGGGCUCGAGCACUGUAGGGGCAGAUGGAAUUCCCGGUGUAGCGGUGAAAUGCCCAGAUAUCGGGAGGAACACCAAUGGCGAAGGCAGCUCGCUGGGACGGUACUGACGCUGAGGCGCGAAAGCGUGGGGAGCAAACAGG
rnacentral:rRNA from 1 species